AGACAAAAACAUUUUUGGGGUUUACUGUAAACCUCAGAGGGUAAUGACCCCCCCAAAAGUAGCAGCUCCUGAAAGUGAUGUCAAAAAAUUGUGGUGGCUAUUAACUCCCACAAGUAGCAACAUUGGAAUGUAGCAAGCCCUCUGAAAGUAGCAAGCCCAACAAAAUCCCCACCCCCCCCCCCAAACCCGAAAAUAAUGAGACCAACGUUCAGUGGUAUAUUUAUUCUUCCAAUCAUUAGUCAGCUGAAAGUUACCAUACAAUUACUUGAUUUCAGGCACUCUACAACAAAGGAAGGUAUCGCCUAUGCCAUGAAGCGUUGUACAUAAAAUGUCAAUUCAUGCUUUGUCAGUUCAUGUUGCGCUGUGUUAAAACAAAAACCGUAGAAUUUCAUCAAGUAACAGGAAUGUACUAACAGGAACUUUUCUUUAAACUAAAAUUGGCAACUCUGUAUCAUUUUCAGCAAGAGUGUAUUACAUGUAAAAUGAAUGUUUCUUCAAAUUAAAUUGAAAACUCAACCAACACACUGAGCUAUUGUUAAAGCAGACUUAAACACAGCAGUGCAUCAGGAAGUUGAAACAGUUAAUGGUAUCUGCCUGGCUUUCGUGCUGACCAGUGACAACACAGUCUAGUCAUGAAGAGCCCACCCUUGUGGCAGCAACAUAGCUUUACACUGAAAUGAAGAAUUUAAUUUGAUGUUUUAAAAAUGGUAUUUACAAAUUUCCAUCUUUAAUUUUGGAAAAAAGAGCUCUAGUGUACCAACUUCAUGUAACAUUUUUUGCUCCCAGAAAGUAGCACCCCCCCCCCUGACGGUAACAACCACCCCCCCAAAACAAAACAAAAAGUAAAGAGCCCCAAAGGCUGCCAAUUCGGAAAGCAAAGAGGUUCAUUACUUUGGGAAGUUUACGGUAAUUCAUUAAACCAUGACAUGCAUGUUCUAUCCCUAGUUACCCCAAAAUUAGAAAGAUAGAGUAAAAAAGGCAAGGUAUAUAUUGAAUACUUACCAAAACCUUCAACACCAUGGUUGCCACAAAAACAUCAAACAUUACUGUUUUGUGAUUCAUUAUUGCAAAGAAUUUCAUGAUCAACAUAUAACUUACAUUUAAUUGUAACACUGAACACAUAAUCAAUCUGGAUGUGUUCAGUACACCCCUCUGAGAAACUUUGUUUAUGAACCUUCUGUCUUAAACUCAGUUGUUUUGAUCAUAAAUGCAACACAACAAACCCAGUGUAACUAUGUGACUCAGCUUGACACAGGUCACCAGUCAUCAUCAAAAGGCUGGUUGUCACUAUAGCAACAUAGUCAUAGUCAUAAGAGUUCUUUUUAAUCAGUGAGAAUAGCAAAUCAGAGUUGUAAGGGGAGUUUUUAAGCUCGACAGAAUCAGAGUAGGAAAAUUUAGUUUGUGAAAAACUAGAUUGUCAGAGCUAGAAGCAGAAUUGGAAGAAUCAAUCAAUCGCAGUGCCUGCAGGGAUCUGCACCGGUGGAAGGAACACAACAAUCAGACUUCCAUAACAGCUUGAUAGCAAGACUAGUGAAAACAAGCUAGAGGUUUUAAACUUCCUUGCAGAUGAAAAGAAUUCCAAGAUUGAUUAUGCAGAUUCCGAAGACCUGUGGGAAUCAGAGGAUGAUCGAGAGAACGAUUAUGGGUUAGUUGAAUUUUGAGGUGAUUCACAAGACGAUCAAGGCAGACGUUGGCCCUGAAGCAGAGGCAACUGGUCGCUUAUAUGCAAGCAAUUAAAUUUGUAAUUGUAAUUGUAUUGAGCUGAAAAACCCACUUAGGGAGCAUCAAUAAAGUUUGUAUGUGUGUAUGUAUCUAUGUUAUGGAAAAAUAUUCUGUUUUGCUAUUACAUUACAUGUUUAGAAGCUAACCGUACUGUUCACUUAAGUAAAUUGAAUGAUUAAUUGAUUGA